CUGUCAUCAUGCAGCCUCCAGUCUCUUGUGCAUUGAUGCUGAUUUUUUGCCUGCAUCUUUGCUGUAAUGCAUUACAAAAUGGAACGUGCAAGCUCAGAGUGGAAUUUAUAGAGACUGCAGAAAAGGUGUCUUGCUUUAAGAAGAUGGAUGGACAUGUCCCAAUUUGUAGGUCUCACAAUUCAACCCAGUCAUGUCAGAUAGACUAUAGAGAUGGCAAGACGUGCAUCAAGUGGC